rnacentral:lncRNA from 1 species
CCGGAGGCCGCGGCAGGAGCAGGGCUGGCUCUGCGGCCGAGACCGCGGGCCUGUGUGAGGCCGCCGCAUCCUCCCGGGUGACAGGGUGACUCCGUCAUGAAAGAGCAGAACAAGGACACGCACCCCACAGCAACUGCGGGAAGUGGCUCUGCGUGUUUCCACGGCGAAGACUAGCUUGCAUUUCUAUUGUUUUACUUAGAACCCGUUAGGGAUUAUUUAUUGAUAGUGUACGGUGUGCCUAUGAUUCCGUCAGCAAACUGGAGCAUGUCCAGAGUGAAACCUCCCUCCUGGGUAACAGCAGCAGCGAGGAUCCGUCACCUGAGCUUCUGGAUUCAGAGUGAAGACUGUGAGCAAAGGCCGAAUUUUCCUACAGACUCUUGUCCUAAAU